UCCAACACUGUUCGGGUUCCCGCUUCCUUUUCUGACCUUGAGGAGGCUUUCCUGGUUUAACAUCUUUAAAAUUCUUUUAGUUGCUGCUGAAGCUCCUCAGUAGUAAACUACUCUGACCUCUCUUAGUUUUCAAUAUUACCAUCAAACUAUGCUUUCUUUCUUCUCCAUGGAUGGUUAGUUGGAAGGAAAUGACAAUGGCCAAUAUAACAUAUCUUGUUCUUCAAUCUCCUUGAGCAAGGAUCCUUGUCACAACGCACACAGGCAUAAUAAACUUUCGUGACUCACCC
rnacentral:lncRNA from 1 species